rnacentral:rRNA from 1 species
AUACGUAGGUGGCAAGCGUUGUCCGGAUUUAUUGGGCGUAAAGCGAGCGCAGGCGGUUUCUUAAGUCUGAUGUGAAAGCCCCCGGCUCAACCGGGGAGGGUCAUUGGAAACUGGGAGACUUGAGUGCAGAAGAGGAGAGUGGAAUUCCAUGUGUAGCGGUGAAAUGCGUAGAUAUAUGGAGGAACACCAGUGGCGAAGGCGACUCUCUGUUCUGUACCGGACGCUGAGGCUCGAAAGCGUGGGGAGCAAACAGGAUUAGAUACCCUGGUAGUCCACGCCGUAAACGAUGAGUGCUAAGUGUUGGAGGGUUUCCGCCCUUCAGUGCUGCAGCUAACGCAUUAAGCACUCCGCCUGGGGAGUACGACCGCAAGGUUGAAACUCAAAGGAAUUGACGGGG